rnacentral:misc_RNA from 1 species
UCCUGGUUAACCCAGGCAGUCUCGUUAGAGUUCCCACCUAAUAUGUUGGCAACUAACGAUAAGGGUUGCGCUCGUUGCGGGACUUAACCCAACACCUCACGGCACGAGCUGACGACAGCCAUGCAGCACCUGUGCAUAGGCCCCGAAGGGCAACGCCAUCUCUGGCGUCUUCCUAUGCAUGUCAAGCCUGGGUAAGGUUCUUCGCGUUGCAUCGAAUUAAACCACAUGCUCCACUGCUUGUGCGGGUCCCCGUCAAUUCUUUUGAGUUUCACCCUUGCGGGCGUACUCCCCAGGCGGCAUACUUAACGCGUUCGCUACGGCACAACCGGGGUUGAGUCCGGUUACACCAAGUAUGCAUCGUUUACGGCUAGGACUAC